rnacentral:rRNA from 1 species
GGGAAUUUUGGGCAAUGGGCGAAAGCCUGACCCAGCAACGCCGCGUGAGGGAUGAAGUAUUUCGGUAUGUAAACCUCGAAAGAAUGGGAAGAAUAAAUGACGGUGCCAUUUAUAAGCUCCGGCUAACUACGUGCCAGCAGCCGCGGUAAUACGUAGGGAGCAAGCGUUGUUCGGAUUUACUGGGCGUAAAGGGCGCGUAGGCGGCGCGGUAAGUCACUUGUGAAAUCUCUGAGCUUAACUCAGAACGGCCAAGUGAUACUGCUGUGCUAGAGUGCGGAAGAGGCAACCGGAAUUCUUGGUGUAGCGGUGAAAUGCGUAGAUAUCAAGAGGAACACCUGAGGCGAAGGCGGGUUGCUGGGCCGACACUGACGCUGAUGCGCGAAAGCCAGGGGAGCAAACG